AGACAGUUUUUGUUGCUUUAGAAUACACAAUUGUAUGUGUUUUAUUGACUAGCCUUAUGCUAGUGGUAUGCAACCAAUUAACAAAACAUGUUAUGCAAGGUUUGAUAUAAUUGUGAAAAUGGAAUUUUUUUUUCAAAAGGAUUUACUUAUUUCACACUUUUAAUAUCAUUUCAAUCUCUUUUUCUUUUUUUCUUUUUUGUGAAAGAUUUAUUUAAACGAAGAAUUUUGAAUUUCUGAACUGUUUAUCAUGUAUUUGUCGCAUAUUAGACUUCAGAGUAACAAAAAAAAAAUAGAUGUCAACAAACCAAUU
rnacentral:sRNA from 1 species